rnacentral:rRNA from 1 species
AAGGAAAGGUGAAAAGAACCCCGAGCAGGGGAGUGAAAUAGUUCCUGAAACCAUACGCCUACAAGCGGUCGGAGCAUCUUACGAUGUGACGGCGUGCCUUUUGCAUAAUGAUCCUACGAGUUACCGUCACUGGCGAGGUUGAGUGUCAUGAGACACGUAGCCGCAGUGAAAGCGAGCCUGAAGAGGGCGCACAGUCAGUGGGGGUAGACGCGAAACCAAGUGAUCUACACUUGGCCAGGAUGAAGUCCCGGUAACACGGGAUGGAGGUCCGCACCAAUAAGCGUUGAAAAGCUUCUGGAUGAGCCGAGUGUAGGAGUGAAAGGCCAAUCAAACUUGGAGAUAGCUCGUACUCCCCGAAAGGCAUUUAGGUGCCGCGUCGG